CAGUUUGCAUUUUCUUAUGAUGAUUCCUUUCGAACCUUAUGCCUUAGGAAGAGCCGGAAGAGGUAUGACAGUCGUCCAGAUUUCUCAGUAUCGUCAUAUGCUGUAGUAAUUAUCACAGACUGUUGUCGAUGCUUAGAGCGGUUCCUCUGAUACUAUCAAAUCU
rnacentral:snoRNA from 1 species